rnacentral:lncRNA from 1 species
CCUCUGUAUGGUAUUUAAAACAAUAUAGAGCUAUACUCAUGAAAUGAUCAAGUUGUCAGCAGUCCAAAAUCAUGAAGAUGUCCACAUCUCUGUAGUUGCAUCUUUUCAAACAAAACAUGUACACAUCAACCAUAUUCUUGUUCAUUUUUGAAUCUACAUCAGUUUUACGAAAUCACGAACAUAAAAAUCAACAACAGAAAAUAAAC